rnacentral:rRNA from 1 species
UCUCUCUGAAUCUGCGUACGGCUCCGCACACCAGUUGCAAACUAUAGCAAGCAAGCCCGUCGUUUCGCCGCAAGGUGGGCGGCGGGUAGAUGGAUAACCCUGGUAAUUCUGCGGCUAAUACAAGAACGCACAACCUUGUCGACCGGGUAACUGGAAGGCGGGGGGGCGUGCUCUUUAAGUUGCAAGUAUAACCGGGAAAGGGGGCACGACAUGACCGCGCUAAAACGGAAAGUUGGUUCACUCCUUCUCACUAGCGGCUCUUGCUGUGUACUUCUGACCUAUCAACUAGAUGGCAGCGUAAGGGACAUGCUAUGGUUACAACGGGUACAGAGGAUUAGGGUUCGAUCCUGGAGAGUGGGCCUGAGAGAUUGAGC